GGCCCUAUCGUCUAACGGUUAGGACGGAAGCUUCUCAAGCUUCAAAUCAGAGUUCGAUUCUCUGUAGGGUCA
rnacentral:tRNA from 1 species